UACGAAGGGGGCUAGCGUUGCUCGGAAUCACUGGGCGUAAAGGGUGCGUAGGCGGGUCUUUAAGUCAGGGGUGAAAUCCUGGAGCUCAACUCCAGAACUGCCUUUGAUACUGAAGAUCUUGAGUUCGGGAGAGGUGAGUGGAACUGCGAGUGUAGCGGUGAAAUGCGUAGAUAUUGGGAGGAACACCAGUGGCGAAGGCGGCUCACUGGACUGGUACUGACGCUGAGGCGCGAAAGCGUGGGGAGCAAACGGG
rnacentral:rRNA from 1 species